GACGAACGCUGGCGGCGUGCUUAACACAUGCAAGUCGAACGGUGAAGCAGGGCGUCUCGGCGUUCGAUGCGAGUUUAACGUGUGAUUAGUGGCAGACGGGUGAGUAACGCCUCAGCAAACUACCUCUUAAAACGGGAUAGCCUCGGGAACAGGAGAUUCUUACUAUUUGACACAUUCCUAAGGUCUCUUCAGAUUGUUAAAGGUACGGCGGUACAGGAUGGGUACGCGUCCUAUCAGCUAGGUGGUGAGGUAACGGCCCACCAAGGCGACGACGAGUACCUGGGCUGAGAGGGUGAACAGUCACAAUGGAACUGAGACACGGUCCAAACCGCUACGGGAGGCAGCAGUGGGGAAUAUUGGACAAUGGAGGGAAAUCUGAUGCAGCCACGCCGCGUGAGCGAUGAAGGAAUUAGUUUCGUAAAGCUCUGUUCUACGGGAAGAAAAGGACGGUACCAGAGGAAAAAGCCCCGGCUAAAUACGUG
rnacentral:rRNA from 1 species